UUCUGGAGGGCAAGUCUGGUGCCAGCAGCCGCGGUAAUUCCAGCUCCAAUAGCGUAUAUUAAAGUUGUUGCAGUUAAAAAGCUCGUAGUUGAAUUUCGGGACUAAUAUGUCGGUCGUACUUUGUACGUACUAGCAUUAUUGGUUUCUCCCUUCUGACGAACCACGAUGUCAUUAAUUUGGUGUCAUGGGAAAUCAGGACUGUUACUUUGAAAAAAUUAGAGUGUUUAAAGCAAGCUCGCGCUUGAAUACAUUAGCAUGGAAUAAUGAAAUAGGACGUUUGAUUCUAUUUUGUUGGUUUCUAGGAUCGACGUAAUGAUUAAUAGGGAUAGUUGGGGGCAUUAGUAUUCAAUUGUCAGAGGUGAAAUUCUUGGAUUUAUUGAAGACUAACUACUGCGAAAGCAUUUGCCAAGGAUGUUUUCAUUAAUCAAGAACGAAAGUUAGGGGAUCGAAGACGAUCAGAUACCGUCGUAGUCUUAACCAUAAACUAUGCCGACUAGGGAUCGGAUGAUGUUA
rnacentral:rRNA from 1 species